UUGUUUCCCUGGAAUGUAAAUGUAUUUGUUCCAUGUCCCCAAGACUCCAGAGUUUGUGGAUGCACCUGCAAACACCUGAGGGGCUGCUGUGACUUGUCGGUGGUUUUUGGAUGACUCCAGGGCUGAGCUCAGUCCUUCUCCAUCCCUGGCAGUGGCAGAGGAGCCAGAAGUGAAUCCUCAGGGAGCAGUUUCCUUAGGAAUCAGGGAAUGUCACCACCACAGGUCUGCUCCUUUCCUUAUCCACCCUAUCCCGGUGUCCUGGGCUGGGAGCAGCACACAGAGCUGUCACAGCUGAUUUGAAGAGAUUUGAUCCCUCAUUUGGACACAUCUGAUAUGCCUCAGAAGAGCAUUUCCAAGCAGGUAGAAAACCAAAACAGAGAAAUGAGGAUUUGGAGAUGUUUUCCCUAAAAGAGCUUUUAUUCCAGAAGGGAGAGAAAUGCAUCCUGCUUUGAAAAUAAGGGGAAACACAUUAAAGAC